UCAACAAUCGACGGUAAUGUCCGACAGAGUUAAGGUAAGAUUGAUCUCAAAUUUGACAUUGUUUAGUCGAUUCGCACCAUCCAAUCUCUUCUGCGUCGCUCAUCUAGGGUUUCUUCCAGAAAUCGCAGUAGAAGGAAGUGGUUGCAGUUUUUAGGAAGAAGAAAGUGAAAAUGAGUUCUUCAGAGAGCAA